UAGGCACUCCUGUUUUCGCGCCCAAAUGUUGCAUUUUCCAAGACCACUCUGGCCUGCCACACCCCCUGAUCCUGUGCCUAUAAAAAACCCGGAGGCCCCAGCAGGCACACACACAGGUGGCUGGACAUCGAGAGGAACACACCAGUAGAAGAACACACCAGCAGAUGCUGGCAGGCUACUGAUGGCAGAACGACAGGGACGCCAAGGGGAAUUCGGCCAAGGGUGGGUGGUCUGAGGAGAUCCCCGCCACUGAGCAGCCAACCCCAGGGGAAGACUACCUUCCCACUUAAACCUCUUCUGUCUCCCCAUCAAUCUGCUGAGAACUGCUUCCACUACUCUACAAAACUUUGCACUCACUCUCCAAGACCACAUGUGAUCCGAUUUUUCUGGUACAGUAGGGCAAGAAUCCAGGGAUACAGAAGCCCUCUGUCCUUGCAAUUUAGCAGAGGCUCUGAUUGAACUGACUAACAAGCUGCCUGCGGACGGCUAAGCUGAAAGAGCAAACUGUAACACACGCCCACUGGGGCUCCAGGAACUGUAAACAACCAAUCCUAGAUGCUGCCGUGGGGUCGGAGCCCACGCUCUCCACCAUCUGCUCAUCGGCAUGCUUGUCCUAGGGGUUUGAGCAGUGGGGCACCGAAGAAGCAAGCCACACCGCUGUCACACACCCAGCAAGGAGUAUAAGGGAAAACUUCUCCCGUUUCGUUUAUAAUAUGAGCACUGACAAUAUAUGUCCAUGGAUAGAGCAGCAGAAAAGAGGAAGUACUAAAGAUGCUGGAUACCAGAAGUUAAUGAAGA
rnacentral:lncRNA from 1 species